UACGGGGGGGGCAAGCGUUGUUCGGAAUUACUGGGCGUAAAGGGCGCGUAGGCGGCCUGCUAAGUCGGACGUGAAAUCCCCCGGCUCAACCGGGGAACUGCGUCCGAUACUGGUGGGCUCGAAUCCGGGAGAGGGAUGUGGAAUUCCAGGUGUAGCGGUGAAAUGCGUAGAUAUCUGGAGGAACACCGGUGGCGAAGGCGGCAUCCUGGACCGGUAUUGACGCUGAGGAGCGAAAGCGUGGGGAGCGAACAGG
rnacentral:rRNA from 1 species